CCUACGGGAGGCAGCAGUGAGGAAUAUUGGUCAAUGGACGAGAGUCUGAACCAGCCAAGUAGCGUGAAGGAUGACUGCCCUAUGGGUUGUAAACUUCUUUUAUAUGGGAAUAAAACGUUCCACGUGUGGGAUUUUGUAUGUACCAUAUGAAUAAGGAUCGGCUAACUACGUGCCAGCAGCCGCGGUAAUACGGAGGAUCCGAGCGUUACCCGGAUUUAUUGGGUUUAAAGGGAGCGUAGGUGGAUUGUUAAGUCAGUUGUGAAAGUUUGUGGCUCAACGGUAAAAUUGCAGUUGAAACUGGCAGUCUUGAGUACAGUAGAGGUGGGCGGAAUUCGUGGUGUAGCGGUGAAAUGCUUAGAUAUCACGAAGAACUCCGAUUGCGAAGGCAGUUCACUGGACUGCAACUGACACUGAGGCUCGAAAGUGUGGGUAUCAAACAGGAUUAGAUACCCUUGUAGUC
rnacentral:rRNA from 1 species